UAGGGAAUCUUCGGCAAUGGGGGGAACCCUGACCGAGCAACGCCGCGUGAGUGAAGAAGGUUUUCGGAUCGUAAAGCUCUGUUGUUAAGGAAGAACGAGUGUGAGAAUGGAAAGUUCAUACUGUGACGGUACUUAACCAGAAAGGGACGGCUAACUACGUGCCAGCAGCCGCGGUAAUACGUAGGUCCCGAGCGUUGUCCGGAUUUAUUGGGCGUAAAGCGAGCGCAGGCGGUUACAUAAGUCUGAAGUUAAAGGCAGUGGCUCAACCAUUGUAGGCUUUGGAAACUGUUUAACUUGAGUGCAGAAGGGGAGAGUGGAAUUCCAUGUGUAGCGGUGAAAUGCGUAGAUAUAUGGAGGAACACCGGUGGCGAAAGCGGCUCUCUGGUCUGUAACUGACGCUGAGGCUCGAAAGCGUGGGGAGCGAACAGG
rnacentral:rRNA from 1 species